GAUGAACGCUGGCGGCGUGCCUAAUACAUGCAAGUCGAACGCUGGAGAUCUAGCUUGCUAGAUCGAAGGAGUGGCGAACGGGUGAGUAAUACAUAAGCAACCUACCCACGAAGACUGGGAUAAUCUCUGGAAACGGGGACUAAUACCGGAUAGGUAAUCGGAAGGCAUCUUCUGGUUAUUAAAGGUUAAAAACACUGGUGGAUGGGAUUAUGGCGCAUUAGUUAGUUGGUGAGGUAACGGCCCACCAAGACGAUGAUGCGUAGCCGGCCUGAGAGGGUGAACGGCCACAUUGGGACUGAGACACGGCCCAGAGUCCUACGGGAGGCAGCAGUAGGGAAUUUUCGGCAAUGGGGGCAACCCUGACCGAGCAACGCCGCGUGAGUGAAGACGGCCUUCGGGUUGUAAAGCUCUGUUGUAAGGGAAGAACGGUAGAUAGAGAAUAUCUAAGUGACGGUACCUUACCAGAAAGCCACGGCUAACUACGUG
rnacentral:rRNA from 1 species